rnacentral:lncRNA from 1 species
CGCCAACAAUUAGUUUAUGGAAAAGGUAUUCUAGAGAAGAAGUUCACAAGUAGAAAAUUUCAUGUCUUCGUCGUGGAUGGUGAAUUAUAGCCUAAAUCAAUUUCUUGUUGUUGUUGUUGAAGAUCCUCGUCUCCCUUCAACCUUGGAAUAAACAAAAAGAUUAUUAAUGUUCAAAGUAAUUUUAUUGACAACAAACACAGAAUCAAACUUUGGGCAAUGCAUUGACACUCACUUCCAAAUUCAAACAGUCACGUGAUUUGCAUAUGUCGUAAGAACAAACUAAAGUGUUUGUUGGACCACUGAGAAUUGCAUGUGAAUCGGCAUCGUUAUCUCCUAUAUCAUUGAUAACCUAAUGAUAAGGCUCCUCUAUAUCUUGACAUACCUCCACAUGUUCAUGGUGGUCAUCCACAUCAAGCUCCUAUGGAGAACUUGCAAGCAUGCCUC